CACACAAACGUUGCCUGGUGGGAGGUGCGCAGCAAUAACAUGAUGGCUGCUGACUCUGAGACAUGGUAAACAUUCCGAGUUUGCUGCCUUCAGCGCUGGAGGGACGCCGUGAGUGAGUGUAGGCGGACUGGAGGAGGAGUGAGGACGCCCUCACCGUCAAGAUGUCAAGUUCAUUUGUUAAAGACUGUUCAGAUGUUUCGGCUCCGGGAAACUCCAAUUCUGGGAAAACGGUGAUCAUCAUCGUUAACAAUGAAACUGGAAAUGUCUCACUGGAUGGAGAUGAACUACAAAACUUGCUGGCAAGCCAUGGAGCAGAUGGCUCUCAAGUCAGCGUAGUGCGGAUGGGAAGUGGCGGAUUAGAGAAUCUCUGUGAAGCGAGCAUUGCCUCAAUUGCUACUUCUGAUGGUACUCAGCAUGUUAAUUUGACUGUUGAGGGCUACCCAGCAAUUCCAGUCGAAGGACAGAUUGGAGGUGCUGGGAACUAUGCCGAGCUGCCUUUGGAUGCCGAUGCUUUUCGACGGCUUGAGAGUGUCCUUGAGAGUGAGGAAGCCCGGGAGAUACUUGGGGAACCUCUCCUUAAUAUGGUCACCAAUCCAGAGCAGCUGGGCACUCUUGAUGAAUUAAUGGACUCCACCUUAUUUGAAGGAGAGUCUGAAGAUGCACCUAUCUCUGAAGAUGGUGCGUCUUCACCGAGAGGAGGAUCUCCCUUGAGAACUUCUCGUCCUCCCCCAAAGCGCAGGUCACAGAGACAAAUGGAUAAAGCAGAAAGAGAAGAGGUCGAGAAAAUUUUGGCCGAGAACCAGAAGAAAUUGCAAGAGGAGCGACAACAGCUGGACGAAAAUCAAGUAUUAACAAAAUUGAAUACAAUAUCUGUUAGUUCAGUUAAUAAAGUAGAGAGUGAGGAUGAUGAAGACUUGGAAGAAAAUUCUGUUGAAGAUGCACAAGAAAGUUUAAAGACUGAAUGUGAAGAUGAGAAAAAUGAGACUUGUACAACACAGAGCAAAGGAAAAACCGAGAAGCCAGAUGAAGAACGCACUUCAGCCCCGAGAGGAAAAGGCAGAGGACGAAACCGAGUGAGAUGCAGAGGGAAGAUAGAGAGAGAGAAAGAAAGUACACAGGAAGUGAAAGGUAAACAAAAGGGAAAAAAGGAUAUAGAAGAUCCAGAAGUCAUGGCGCCUGAAAAAGACACUACUGGAGGAAGGGGUCGAGGGACACCAAAGGAAGACGUUGCCACUGUGAGAGGAAGGGGAAGAGGAAGAGGAAGAGGUCGAAUAGUCAGUUUUAAGGAGAAUAAUGCAGAAGUGGUAAAGACUGUGGAAUUGGAAAAUGACAAGAAUAAGUCCAUUUAUGAAGCAUCAUCAGGUUUGAAGAUGAAAGAAUUAAAAGUUACUGUUAAGAAGAUGGAUAUAGAGCAGACAGUGGACAGAAAGGGGUCGCCAACUGAUGAAAACGAUUCAAAAUUAACUGAGGAGGAGUGCAUAAAGAUGACCUUGGCGGGUGAAAUCGAGGCUGACGAGUCAGGUGUAACACCAGUGAUUCAGGAGCCUGAAUUGCCAAUAGAUACCUCCAAGAAGAAAAUGAAGAAACCACCAGUAACCCCUAAAGUAAUACCUCAGUUUGAGCCAGCUUUAUUCUCGACGCCAGAUGUUAUGCUUAAAGUAGGCGAUGUCAACUCGCCCCAAGCUAUAGCAGUGAAGGGAAAUGGUAAGCCGGUCAAGGCUCGAAAAAUUCUACUAGUUAAAAAAAUAAAAAAAGAAAUUGGAGAAGAAAGUGCAAUAAAGAAAGAAGAUAGACAGAACAAUGUACUCAGGAAAGAGAAUGGACAGUCUAAUGUUUUAAAGAAAGGAAAUGGACAAACUAGAAUAAAAAAGAAAGAGAAUGGGCAGACUAGUGUAAAAAGAAAAGAAAAAAAUGGGCAGACUAGUUUAAAAAUAAAAAGAAAAGAGAGUGGGCAGACUAGUGUAAAAAGAAAAGAGAGCGGACAAACAGUUGUAAUAAGCACAGACAGUGGACAAAGUGAUGUAAUAAAUAGUGAGAGUGGACAAACUAAAGUAAUAAGUGAAGGGAAUUUACAGACUAGUGUUAUUCAGGGUGGGAAUGAACAGACGAGUGCAAGUACAAAGGAUGAGAAAUCCAAUCCUAUCAUUAAACUUGAUAACAUGGAUAUACCAAAAAGUGAUGUUUCUGACAUGGCUGAAAAUAAUUCUGCCACUUCAGAGGUUAACCGGAAAGAUGAGAAAGAGCAGAGGUCUACUGGGGAGACUUCUAAGAAAUCACUUAAUGAUGUCAAGGUCAACAAAUCUUUGGAAAAGAGAGAUGCUGUUUCUGAACUCAGGUCAAAAGUCAUUCAUGUCAAGAGUCCUAUGGGAGUCCGACAAGUUGUCGUUUUAAACUCGGCUAAAGCUGGAAUGUACAGAGAGACGUUAGUGAAAGUUAUACCACCGAAAGAUCCACCUCGAGAAGAGGAGAAAAUAUCACCUGCAAAACAAAGAAUGUUGGCAAAGAAGGAACUACAUUUGCAGAAGAAAAAAAUUGACCCACAAAAAAGUGAGAUUGCUAGCUUUGGAGUGAUUAAUGAUCAUAAGAUUAAAGAUUCAUUCAAAUCAGAAGUGCACAGACAAGCUCAUAUGCAAAAGAAAGCAGACAGGAUAGAUAGUCAUAAAAGUGGAGAUCCAUUGAAGCCAUCUGAGGAAGCUUUCUUGUCCAAGAAAAAGGAAGAAGCCCUUAGAAGAAAAGAAGAAAUACAACAGAAGAGAGAUGAGAUCUUAAGAAAACGGGAAGCUAUAAAGAAAAGGAAAGAUAUUCAAAGAAAAGAAAAUACUCAGCAAAAGAAUAUUGAAGCAGUUGAUAGGAAAUUGGAUAAUAAUAUUCCCAGGCAAGAAAGAACUCUACCUAAUAAUGAAGCCAUAACAAAGGAUGGAGAAAUUAAAAAACAUAGACCAAUAGCCAACAUUCCUCGUAAAAUCAUACAAGUUGUGCACAAAAUAAACUCUCCAGUGCCCAAGUUGCCCGCAGAGGACUCGCCAGUUAGACGGAGCAACCGAGCUAUAAAGAAAAAAACCUUCGGGGAUGAAAUGUUAACAUUUGACCUGAAGGCCGAUCUUGUUGCUUGUGCAGAAGAGGAACAAGAGCCAGAAGAGGAGUUCGAGAGUGAAGGAGAUGAAGAUGAAGACUCGCUGGAGGAUUAUGGUGAAGACGAUGACCCUGAACGGCUGUGGUGUGUGUGCCAGAAGCCUCACAACAAUCGCUUCAUGAUUUGCUGUGACAAGUGUGAGGAUUGGUUCCAUGGGUCCUGUGUUGGUGUUACCAAGGCAAUAGGUCAGCAGAUGGAAGAAGAUGGACAAGAGUGGGUUUGUCCUAAAUGUAAAAAAGCUGAGCGGGCCAUGAAGGGCUAUGGGCUACCAGGUAAAAAAUCUGCUGAUGGUUCAGAGAACGAGUUACCAGAAAUAUUACGACACUCAAUUACCAAAAAUGGGAGCCAAGCGGGCAAUAGAUCAGUUAUGCUUCAAGAGGGCCAAACAAUACCAAAGAGAAUUGUAGUAGGAGAAAAGAAGGUAGAGAUACAGCAGACAAGGCAGCCGGUGACAAAGAAAGGGUCACGAGAUGGUCACUUCACACCAGUAAAAUUAUAUAAUGACAAGAAGAUGGAUGCUUCUACAAUAAUCCCAGUAUCUCCCCCCAAAAAUUUAAAUGGAGGAAAAGAGUGUGUGGUAGAGUCGUGCAAUAAGGCUCCAAAAGCGGACUCCAUCUACUGUAGCAACGACUGUGUUCUCAAGCAUGCACAAAUGUCCCUUAAAAUGUUGGGCAAAACUGACAAGGUAGAAGAGGUACAGUGUGGGAUAGAUGCAGUGAGUUCUCUUGAGAAGAGCAAGCCUCGAGUGUUGGUGUACCACAAAAGCACUGGAAAGAUCCUCUCAGGUGGGGAAGCCCCAACACUUGUGCAGCUCAAGGAGUGGCUGGAGGAGCAUCCCGACUAUGCCGUACUCCAGCCAGGGAUGAUGGGAUCAUCUGGAACAGUGAUUAGUACAAAUACUCAGCUCUCGCCCUCAAAUUUCUACGGACAGAAAAAGGUUAUUCAGAUUCCACCCAAAUCUGUGGCAGCCCCGAUUUCCCUCACGCCUCGUCACAAAGUGGCAGUUGUGAAACCUGCCGACGUAAGAAUCAUCGUUAAGACAUCGGAGACCUCGGAUAAAGAAGUUGGCAAUAAGGCCGUUGCCAGCAUGUCUAUGUCUACUCCAACCAAGUCGGUUGUAGUUAGCACUACUAAACCGACUGUUUUACCUACAACAGCUGUUAUUAAAGAUGGAGAGGUGAAGAAGGAUGCAGCGGGUGUUAAUAAAAAGGAUGAAACCAAUCCUUCCAAAAACACCCCUGCCAAAGAGAAUAAAAAACUCUCAGACAGUGUCACUGUACUAAUACAGAAUAAACCAGCAUCUGUAGAAAAGAAGAAGCCUGACCCAAAUGAAGUUAGAAACAACAUUAAGAAGACCCUCUCAGAUUGUCUUAUCAAGCGCUUCCACGAUGCUAAAAAUGAGUUUGAUGACCUUAAUGAAGAUGACAUAAAGGUUCUUGCAGAAGAGAUAGAAAGAGAGCUUUAUGUGUUCUUUGGGAAGGAUGUUGGGUUCAAGUACAAGUCUCGCUACAGGAGUAUUCUUUUUAAUACCAAAGAUACAAAGAACAGUGGGUUGUUCCGCAAGAUAUUAAAUGGAACAAUUUCUCCAUCUAACUUGGUUAGAAUGACAUCUGAAGAGCUAGCAUCCAAAGAACUUUGUGAAUGGCGAGAGAGAGAAGAGAAGAAGGAACUUCAAGCUAUUGAAAAAUAUGAACUGGACAUGAUUGCUCUGGGUAACCAGUAUAUAAUGAAGUCACAUAAAGGAGAAAUUGAAAUUGACAAGGAUGAAUUUAUCAAGGAUAAAGAAAAAGCUCCCGAAACUCUCAACUCGCUUCCAGCAGAUCCAGUGGCAGAAGUGCUAGAGGACACAACGUUAAGCCAUGCAAAUCACAUGUAUGAUCUUAAUUGCAAAAUAUGCACAGGAAAACAAGACCAUUCAUUGAUCCGACAAAUUUCGAAAUCUCAAAAUGAUAAAAGUGAAGAGAAGGCUAAAAAAGAUACAAAAGACAGCAAGCAAAAAGAAGCAGAGAAAGUAAAGGAGAGGAAAGAGAGGAAGAGCUCCUCGGACAAGGACCGCAGGGAGAGGAGAGACUCUACGGACAGAGAGCGUCACCGCCAUAAAAGUAAAGAAAGUGACAAGGACAGAAGGUCACGAGAUGAAAAGAACAGAGAUAAAGAGAAAGAAAGAGACAAUAGGGAUAAAGAGAAAGACAAAGACAGCAGGGAUAAAGAGAAAGAUAAAGACACGAGGGAUAAGGAGAAGGACAAAGAUAACAGGGAUAAGGAGAGAGAGAAAGAGAAAUCUAAAUAUAAAGAAAUACAUAAAGAUGAACAUUCUAGUGACAGAGAUAAAGAUAAGAGUCGAGACAAGCACCGAAACAGUAAAGAUGGGGAGAGAUACAAGACUAGCACUGAUAAAGAGAAGAAAGAUAAGGAAAGAAGAGAUUCUAGAGACAAAAAAGAUGAUCGAGAUAAGAAACACAGAGAGAGACAUAAGGACAGGAGGGACUCGAAGGAUGAUAGAGAGCGAAAAAGACGAGAUAGUAGUGAAAAAAGUGAAAGAAAGCGUAAAUACAGCGAAUCUCGAAGUGAAGAUAAGAAGAGAAGAGAAAGUAUAAAAGAGAGUUCAAAGAGAAAAGAGAGUUGUGAAGAUGAGAAACAAAAAGAAGAAGUAGUGAGCACGAGUGAAGAUGUGGUAUUUGAUCCAUAUUCUACAGAGAAGCAUUUGUCUUCACACCUGGACUCGGAUGCCAAAGAUGCUGAACCAACUUCCACGGUAAUUGGGAGCCCAGAGAUCUAUGAGAUAAAGGACUAUUCAUCACCCUGUAGAGAAGUCAGAGCGGAAUCACCGCCACUUUUUCCUGAGAGUCUUGUGAUGCCCCCACUCCCACCUGACUCUCCAGGGUAUGUCCCACCUCCGCCCACUUAUGAUUCCUUGGAGUCUUCACCUCUGCCAGAAGGAUCCAUGACCAAUGCACUGCCAUACGAUGGGUCUACCACCCCUCCGCUUCCUGAUUAUAUUCCCACAACUCCACCUCUUCCUAGUGAGGAUAUUCCAAGUGCUCCUCCUCUGCCUGAAGACGAAAGUCCCUGUACUCCUCCUCCUCUCCCAGAUGAUGAUAUUCCAUGCACCCCUCCACUUCCCGAUGAAGAUUGUCCCGACACGCCGCCGCCACCAAUUGAGGACAUGCCUUUUGCUCUGCCAACGUCAGAAUUGGGAGGUUCGACUACACCACCUUUACCAAAGGAUAGUAUGUCUCUAAUAUCAUCGUAUUCUGGAUCACUGUUGCCACCACAACAACCAUCAUUUUUAUCUGAUUUCAACAGUGACUCAGACAGAUUAACUCCACCUCCUAUAGGUGUCCAAAAACUAGGUGUUGCAUCAGCGACGUUACCUGGUGCCAUUUCUGCCGAGCCUUAUAAUGUAUGGAAAGGAAUCAUACACAUGCCCGACGUGGCCAAGUUUCAGGCAUCAGCUUUUGAGGUAUCUGGUAAGGCCAAGUUUCUCCCAGAUGAUGUGCCAAAUUCAGUGGAAGUUGUUGGCCGCAUUGCACCAGACACCGUUUGGAGCUACAUUGCACAAAUGAAGAAGAGUGGGUCUAAAGAAAUCCUGGUGGUUCGAUUUCAACCAGCAAAUGAAGAAGAAAAGGUUUCAUACAUAGCUUUGUACUCUUACUUGUCCUCAAAAAAAAAGGUAUGCUGUUAUUGGGAACUGUGAGAAAUCGGUGAAGGACUUUUAUGUUGUUCCUCUUGCAUCUCAUCAACCCAUUCCACAAGUUCUUCUUCCAUUGGACGGUCCUGGGUUUGAGGAACACCGAGCCCAUAUGCUAAUUGGGGUAAUUGUGCGUGCCAAGAGCAAGCGGGUGUUUGAUCACGUUACUGGUACCUGGAGUGUAGUGGGGACAGGCACAG
rnacentral:misc_RNA from 1 species